AACCAAGAAACUACAAGCCCCAGGAUGCAGUGCGCAAUCUGGCUCCUGGAACGAGGACCUCCGUGCGGUGCUGCCCGGCCUUGGCCCUGAACGCGAGAUGUUGACUGUCGUUCGACCAAAAUGUUCAGAAUGAGGAAGCCAAGCGAGGCGCUAUGAAUGACCCCUUAAGUCCCGUAUCCAUGACGUUCGCGGUUUCGCAGAGACCCUGGUAUGCAGGGGAGUGGAAUCUCUAUGGGCCAGCACGAUACGUGCUCGCUGACAACGGACCUCCACGGUCCCAGAGCCUCCAGCGUUUCCUCGGGACGCCGGGGUCGGACGUGAUGUCGCCGUAGAGGAAAAAGGAAGAGGCGGAGCGGGGCGCGGUGACGUCCUUCCAAGAUGGCGGAGAGAGCGUGAAGAAACUGUUGCCCCUUGCCUUGCACUAGAACAAGGGUAAAAUUCCAUUCUGAUAUCAAAAUGCAGUAUUCGCACCACUGUGAGCACCUUUUAGAGAGACUGAACAAACAGCGGGAAGCAGGUUUUCUUUGUGACUGCACCGUAGUGAUUGGGGAAUUCCAGUUUAAAGCUCAUAGGAAUGUGCUUGCCUCAUUUAGUGAGUAUUUUGGUGCGAUCUACAGAAGCACUUCUGAGAACAAUGUCUUCCUUGAUCAGAGUCAAGUGAAGGCUGAUGGAUUUCAGAAGCUGUUGGAGUUUAUAUACACAGGAACUUUAAAUCUUGACAGUUGGAAUGUUAAAGAAAUUCAUCAGGCUGCUGAUUAUCUCAAAGUGGAAGAGGUGGUCACUAAAUGUAAAAUAAAGAUGGAAGAUUUUGCUUUUAUUGCUAAUCCCUCUUCUACAGAGAUAUCUAGUAUUACUGGAAACAUUGAAUUGAAUCAACAGACUUGUCUCCUUACUCUACGAGAUUAUAACAGUCGGGAAAAAUCAGAAGUGUCUACAGAUUUAGUUCAGGCAAAUUCUAAACAAGGGGCUUUAGCAAAGAAGUCAUCUCAAACUAAAAAGAAGAAGAAGGCCUUCAACUCCCAGAAAACAGGACAGAAUAAAACAGUGCAAUAUCCCAGUGACAUUUUAGAGAAUGCAUCUGUCGAAUUAUUCUUAGAUGCAAAUAAAUUGUCUAGCCCUGUAGUAGAACAAGUUGCACAAAGAAAUGAUAAUUCAGAACUUGAGUUGACAUCAGUCGUGGAAAAUACUUUUCCAGCACAAGAUAUUGUGCAAACUGUUACAGUGAAACGGAAGCGUGGAAAAUCACAGCCAAACUGUGCUCUGAAAGAACAUUCUAUGUCCAAUAUAGCCAGUGUCAAGAAUUCUUAUGAGCCGGAGAGCUCUGGGGAAGAGCUGGAUCAGAGGUAUUCCAAGGCCAAGCCAAUGUGUAACACGUGUGGGAAAGUGUUUUCGGAAGCCAGCAGCUUGAGAAGGCACAUGAGAAUACAUAAAGGAGUUAAACCUUAUGUCUGCCACUUGUGUGGAAAGGCAUUUACCCAGUGUAACCAGCUGAAAACGCAUGUAAGAACUCAUACAGGUGAGAAGCCAUAUAAGUGUGAAUUGUGUGAUAAAGGAUUUGCUCAGAAAUGCCAGCUAGUCUUCCAUAGUCGUAUGCAUCAUGGUGAGGAAAAACCUUAUAAAUGUGAUGUAUGCAAUUUACAAUUUGCAACCUCUAGCAAUCUCAAGAUUCAUGCAAGGAAGCAUAGUGGAGAGAAGCCAUAUGUCUGUGAUAGGUGUGGACAGAGAUUUGCUCAAGCCAGCACGUUGACCUAUCAUGUUCGUCGGCACACUGGAGAAAAGCCGUAUGUGUGUGAUACUUGUGGGAAGGCAUUUGCUGUCUCUAGUUCUCUUAUCACUCAUUCUCGAAAACAUACAGGUGAAAAACCAUACAUAUGUGGUAUUUGUGGGAAAAGUUUUAUUUCCUCAGGAGAGCUCAACAAACACUUUCGAUCCCAUACAGGAGAAAGGCCAUUUAUCUGCGAAUUAUGUGGAAAUUCCUACACAGAUAUUAAAAAUUUAAAGAAGCACAAGACAAAAGUCCAUUCUGGUGCAGAUAAACUUCUAGAUUCUAGUAUAGAGGAUCAUCCAUUGAGUGAACAAGAUUCCGUACAAAAAAGUCCUUUAUCAGAAACACUGGAUGUGAAGCCCUCUGAUAUGACUUUACCACUCUCUCUUCCUCUUGGAACUGAGGACCACCACAUCCUUCUGCCUGUCACAGAUAAUCAGUCUCCCACAUCAGAUACGUUACUGAGAUCAGCUGUGAAUGGGUAUUCAGAACCACAGUUGAUUUUUUUACAGCAAUUAUACUGACUUUGUGAGGAAUAUGGAAUUGCUAAGACGUCUCUGGUAGUAAACAUAAACAUCUCUGGAAUUUAUUGGAAUGUGAAGAAAUUAAAGAAAAUUAAAAGACUCAGCCUCUUUAAGAAGUCUGCUGAAAUGGAGAGGUUAUAUUUAAUUCAUAUCUUCAUUAAUCCAAGCAUCUAAAGAAUAUCAUUUCAAAAACUGCUACAGUGAUGUCAAAAUUUUAUGUGAGCUGUAGUUACCAAAUUUCUUCUAAUAAUGGUGGUAAUUAGCAUUUUAUAUAGAUUAGUCUUCAAAUUUAUUAAUAUUAUUGGAUUGGGAUGGCUAAGGUUGAUUUACUGUGCUUUUUCUCCAUCACAUUAUCUGCUUCGUAGCAAAGUACUUUUAUUAUUUUAAAUUGACAUGGCUCUCCCAGAGUGACAUGUGAGAAAUCUUGAAGGCUGAGGUCCCUGUCUUGUCUUUCUUCUCAUAAUGCUGUACUUUUCUUCAUCAUAAUAUGCUUAUAUUUCAGUUGUAUUUGGUGUCAUUCUAACAGUCAUAAUUUUAAUUAAGUCCAGUUAUAAAUAUAUUUGUUACAAUGCAAUUUGGGAAAGGUCUGUUUUUAAUUAAAUAUUACUACAUUUUUGAAAGUCUGUUUAGGAUGUUGAAGAUCUCACUUGAGAAAUUAUUUUCUAAAAUAAUUUUGUAUGUUAGAUUAUUCCUACUGUAUUGUUAGAUUUUAGACUUUUUAAAAGGAAACCAUAGAUUAUAUAUAAAUGAUUUUUUGCUGUUUUUAAA